CACAGCUAGAGAUGGAGAUGGAGCACAGCUAGAGAUGGAGCACAGCUAGAGAUGGAGCACAGCUAGAGAUGGAGCACAGCUAGAGAUGGAGCACAGCUAGAGAUGGAGCACAGCUAGAGAUGGAGCACAGCUAGAGAUGGAGAUGAAGCACAGCUAGAGAUGGAGAUGAAGCACAGCUAGAGAUGGAGCAUGGGGUAAAAUUGGGAGUAUAUGGGGUAUAAUUAGGGGUAUAGUUAAGGGUAUAUGGGGUAUAAUUAGGGGUAUAUGGGGUAUAAUUAGGGAUAUAUGGGGUAUAAUUAGGGGUAUAUGGGGUAUAAUUAGGGGUAUAUGGGGUAUAUUUAGAGGUAUGUGAGGUAUAAUUAGGGGUAUAUGUGGUGUAAUUAGGGGUAUAUGGGGUGUAAUUAGGGGUAUAUGGGGUAUAGUUAGUGGUAUAUGGGGUAUAGUUAGGGGUAUAUGGGGUAUAGUUAGGGGUAUAUGGGGUAUAUUUAGAGGUAUAUGGGAUAUAUUUAGACACUAGAUUUGGGCUAUUUCUGGACAUCCGAUGAGACGUGGGCGAUGGGACCCCCCUGGCCCUGUUCUCCCCUCUCUCUGUAAUAAUGUGCAGGCUCUCUACCCACAUCAUCCAGCUAGCUAGUCAUCAUGGGU
ensembl:lncRNA